GCGGGCGUGGCGAAAUUGGUAAACGCGCCAGCCUUGGGAGCUGGUGGGGUGCCCUCCGGAAGAGAUCACACCCCUGCGAGUUCGACCCUCGUCGCCCGCA
rnacentral:tRNA from 1 species